rnacentral:rRNA from 1 species
ACUGAGACACGUGCUCAGACUCCUACGGGAGGCAGCAGUGGGGAAUCUUCCGCAAUGGGCGCAAGCCUGACGGAGCAACGCCGCGUGAGUGAAGAAGGGUUUCGACUCGUAAAGCUCUGUUGUCGGGGACGAAUGUGGAGAUGGUGAAUAACCAUUUUCAAUGACGGUACCUGACGAGGAAGCCACGGCUAACUACGUGC